GUGGGGAAUAUUGGACAAUGGGCGAAAGCCUGAUCCAGCCAUGCCGCGUGUGUGAAGAAGGUCUUCGGAUUGUAAAGCACUUUAAGUUGGGAGGAAGGGCAGUAAGUUAAUACCUUGCUGUUUUGACGUUACCAACAGAAUGAGCACCGGCUAACUUCGUGCCAGCAGCCGCGGUAAUACGAAGGGUGCAAGCGUUAAUCGGAAUUACUGGGCGUAAAGCGCGCGUAGGUGGUUCAGCAAGUUGGAGGUGAAAUCCCCGGGCUCAACCUGGGAACUGCCUCCAAAACUACUGAGCUAGAGUACGGUAGAGGGUAGUGGAAUGUCCUGUGUAGCGGUGAAAUGCGUAGAUAUAGGAAGGAACACCAGUGGCGAAGGCGACUACCUGGACUGAUACUGACACUGAGGUGCGAAAGCGUGGGGAGCAAACAGGAUUAGAUACCCUUGUAGUCC
rnacentral:rRNA from 1 species